rnacentral:rRNA from 1 species
GUCUAUGGCCAUGCUACCCUGAACAAGCCCAAUCCCAUCUGAUCUCAGAAGCUAAGCAGGGUAGGGCCUGGUUAGUACUUGGAUGGGAGACCACCUAGGAAGACCAGGUGCUGUAGGCA